rnacentral:rRNA from 1 species
GGGAUAACUGAUGGAAACGUCAGCUAAGACCGCAUAGGUGUAGAGAUCGCAUGAACUCUAUAUGAAAAGUGCUACGGGACUGGUAGAUGAUGGACUUAUGGUGCAUUAGCUGGUUGGUAGGGUAACGGCCUACCAAGGCGACGAUGCGUAGCCGACCUGAGAGGGUGACCGGCCACACUGGGACUGAGACACGGCCCAGACUCCUACGGGAGGCAGCAGUAGGGAAUUUUCGGCAAUGGGGGAAACCCUGACCGAGCAACGCCGCGUGAAGGAAGAAGUAAUUCGUUAUGUAAACUUCUGUCAUAGAGGAAGAACGGUGGAUAUAGGGAAUGAUAUCCAAGUGACGGUACUCUAUAAGAAAGCCACGGCUAACUACGUGCCAGCAGCCGCGGUAAUACGUAGGUGGCGAGCGUUAUCCGGAAUUAUUGGGCGUAAAGAGGGAGCAGGCGGCACUAAGGGUCUGUGGUGAAAGAUCGAAGCUUAACUUCGGUAAGCCAUGGAAACCGUAGAGCUAGAGUGUGUGAGAGGAUCGUGGAAUUCCAUGUGUAGCGGUGAAAUGCGUAGAUAUAUGGAGGAACACCAGUGGCGAAGGCGACGAUCUGGCGCAUAACUGACGCUCAGUCCCGAAAGCGUGGGGAGCAAAUAGGAUUAGAUACCCUAGUAGUCCACGCCGUAAACGAUAAGUGCUAAGUGUUGGGAG